CUCUGCGUCGCUCGAUUACGUCUAAAUGCGUCGCUAUCGAAACGGGGCAGCUGAGAAUAUGUUACGCGAUAAGCGAUACGCUGUGGCUUAACGAUUUUCAGAUAGCACGAAUGCCAGCAAUCGUGCAACGUAGGAGUUCAAAGGGAGACAUGGUCAGUGUGGUUGGGUGCAAGCAACGUGUCAUUGUGGUUAGAAAAAAUGAAUCAGUAUACAUGUGAUUUAACUGUCAAAGCCGGAAUGUUUAAAGCAUACAUCCCGCCCAAGGCAUGCUGGGAUGAUCUACUAUCAGGCAGCUUGGAAGCUUCCAGACGCCGAUAUGCCUUACGUUCGGUGCAGCCGAGGUUAUGAACUGUCAAGUGGAAGAUGCCCCUUGAGGAAAACAAUUAGGAUCGACUGUCCAGCGUGGAGAUUGCGGAAUCAGCAGCCGACAUAUUGAC